UGAAGACGUAUGAAAAGAAAGAUUGGCAAAAAAGCCUGAGGAUGAAGCGUUUUCACUUCAGAAAGAAAACUCUAUAUGUUGGAGAUAUAGCUUAUAGAAAAUUGUGCAACGUUUAUAUCAUCACACUCGUCAUCAUCAAAAUGGCAGACAGUCUGUUGCAUUUUUUGACCAAUAGGAAUGAUGAAAUGAUUAACUGCAGUUACUAAUCUCAUUAAACAUGCAGGACCAAGUUACUUAGAAAAUUGUUGCUAAGCAUCAAAACCAAACAUGGGGACGAUAUCGAAAGUCUUUUCGUUUUUUAAAAACGAGUCAAUGUGACGUUAAAUUUUUCGCAUCUGUUAUGCUAUUGUUUUGCGAUCUUUUUACUGAGGCUGUUUUAGACAAUGCAGGUUGUGCCCUCAAUUCUUGGUUAGGGGCAGGAAGCUUAGAUUUUGGAAUGUUUGCGAUGGUUACCUCUUUGAUUGUU